UUUGCAGUUCAGGUUUCCAAGCCUCUCGUUAGUUAGGAGAAGAAAAGGAUCGAAGGAAAAUAAAAACCCAUAAAGCUACAAACACUUUCUUUCCUUUUCUUUCUUCUUAUUAUUCUUCUUCUUCUGAUUCCUAAUCUCAUUAUUCUGUGCCCUAGAUUUUCUCCACCUUACCCUACCCUACCAUACCCACCGCUUUUUCAAUCCAUUCGAUCCUCUUCUUCUGAAUUCCCACCUUAUCCUCUCUCUUUAGGGUUCUUCCUUCAUGGAUUCCGAAGAUGAUAUGCACGACGCCAACGAUAUCGAGUCCCUUGAUGAUGAUUUCUACAGUGGCGAAACCGAAGAUGCUCCCAUGGAUUACUACUCCGACUACGAUGAUGAUCCUGAUGAUUACUUCGAUGAUGCCGAUGAUUCUGACCGCGUUGAGUCUCGUCGACCUGAGCAAAACUUUACGGUAUUGAUGGAACCGGAUAUCCGGCAAAGGCAGGAAGAUGAUAUCACUAGAGUAUCGACAGUUCUUUCCAUAUCACAAGUUGCUGCAAGCAUCCUACUUCGUAACUAUAAUUGGAGUGUAAGUAAAGUUCACGAUGCUUGGUUUGCCGACGAAGAUCAAGUCCGAAGAACGGUUGGUUUAUUGGAGAAGCCAGUUUACGAGAAUCCUAAUGCCAGAGAGCUUACUUGCGGCAUCUGUUUUGAAGCUUAUCCUCCUUCCAGGAUUCAAACUGCUUCUUGCGGUCAUCCGUACUGCUUUUCAUGCUGGGGAGGAUAUAUCGGCACUUCAAUUAACGAUGGUCCGGGAUGUUUGAUGCUGAGAUGUCCUGACCCCUCUUGUGAUGCUGCUGUUGAUCAAGAUAUGAUUAAUCUUUUAGCAUCUGAUGAGGAUAGAGAGAAGUAUGACCGCUACCUUCUUAGGUCGUACAUUGAAGACAAUAAGAAGACCAAGUGGUGCCCUGCUCCAGGUUGUGAAUAUGCAGUCAAUUUUGAUGCUGGCAGUGGAAAUUAUGAUGUAUCUUGCCUCUGUUCAUAUAGCUUCUGCUGGAAUUGCACCGAAGAGGCUCACCGUCCAGUGGAUUGUGGCACUGUGUCAAAGUGGAUUUUGAAAAACAGUGCAGAAUCCGAAAACAUGAACUGGAUACUUGCUAACUCAAAGCCGUGUCCUAAGUGCAAGAGACCGAUUGAAAAAAACCAAGGGUGCAUGCAUAUGACAUGUACUCCACCUUGUAAAUUUGAAUUUUGCUGGCUAUGCCUUGGUACAUGGUCAGACCAUGGUGAAAGAACUGGUGGUUUCUAUGCUUGCAAUCGUUAUGAAGCAGCUAAACAAGAGGGGGUGUACGAUGAAACUGAAAAAAGAAGAGAAAUGGCAAAGAAUUCAUUGGAGAGGUACACUCAUUAUUAUGAGCGGUGGGCUAGCAACCAAUCUUCAAGGCAAAAAGCUCUUGCUGAUCUACACCAGAUGCAAACUGUUCAUAUUGAGAAGCUUAGUGACACACAGUGCCAACCUGAGUCACAGCUUAAAUUCAUAACUGAGGCCUGGUUACAGAUAGUUGAGUGCAGGCGGGUAUUGAAGUGGACAUAUGCAUAUGGAUACUAUUUACCGGAGCAUGAACAUGCUAAAAAGCAGUUCUUUGAGUACUUGCAAGGUGAGGCAGAAUCAGGUUUGGAGAGACUUCAUCAAUGCGCUGAAAAGGAACUCCAGCUAUUCCUCAAUGGUGAUAGCCCAUCUAGAGAAUUCAAUGAUUUUCGCACAAAACUAGCUGGAUUGACCAGUGUUACUAGAAACUACUUUGAGAAUUUGGUUAGGGCAUUAGAGAAUGGUUUAUGUGACGUGGAUAGUAAUGGAGCUGCUUCCAGCAAAGCAACACUUUCAAAAAAUGCUGCAGGGAGUAGCAAGGGGAGAGGCGGAAGAGGAAAGGGGGCUAUUCGAGCUAGCAUAUCCAGCAGAAUGGCUGAUGAUAAUCAUUGGUCUUGUGAGCAAUGCACCUAUGCAAAUGUCAGAUCUGCCACUGCUUGCCAGAUGUGCAACCAACAACGUCGAUGAAAAUUCAUUCCUCUAUUAGAAACACGUGUCUUCUGCUCAAAGGCCAACACACCGAAAAGCUGAAAUGGAAUCAGUAAUCAUAGUUAUGUGCUGGUUUAUUUUUGUAAGGGUAUUUAAUAUAAACAGGAUGAAGGGGGUAAAGUCAUGCAAAAAAGGCUUCUGUAACUGAACAUCUUAUAUAGCACAUGCUGGAGAUGAACACAAUUAUGCUUGUUUGUGAACUGAUUUCUUCUGGUAGAUUUACGGCCAGCUUCUUUUAGUUUACCUUAAGGAACUAUUUCACAGAAAUACCCUUACUACUUGAGAUUUGUAAGCUUUGGACUGAUAAUAUGGCUAGUUAUGGAUGUGUGAUGUGGGCUUCUAAAACCAAGCUUAUGAACUCUAAACCUCAUUGAAGCUAGUUUUCCUGGGAGGAUGGUCUUUUGGUAGGUGCAUAAACACGUUUUCAAUAAGAAGUUUUAAGUCAUUUUUAUACGUGAAUUUCUAUAGGCAUAUUUGUUUUAGCUUUCAGUCGGGAGGACUUUUAUCAGGCUUACCGAGUGGUUUUGAAAUCUUUGGGGUUAUUUGACUGAUAGAUAAGUGAGACGUGAUAUAUUGUAUGUUGAUUCAAUAUUAGAAAAGUCAAUCAUGUUUCUUAUGCCA